rnacentral:lncRNA from 1 species
UAGGAACUAGUUCUUUGAAAGCUGGCCAAGUUUGAAUUCAAACUCUUCUUCACACGCUCCUAUUCUUCUUUCCUUGGGCUCGGCUGAAUGGGCUUAGAUGUGAGAUGAUCCAAACUAUGCCUCAUUAAAAACCUAUCUCAAGAAAACCCAUUGGGACAAAACUUGAAAUAGGGAAAAAGAGUACAUAGCUGGAUCACAAGCCCAUUAGCCUUCUCGGACUUGGAUCACAACUAGUGUAGUUGUACCAAUCUCUUUUCCCGUUUGUUC